rnacentral:rRNA from 1 species
GUAGGUGGCAAGCGUUGUCCGGAAUUAUUGGGCGUAAAGCGCGCGCAGGCGGUCCUUUAAGUCUGAUGUGAAAGCCCACGGCUCAACCGUGGAGGGUCAUUGGAAACUGGGGGACUUGAGUACAGAAGAGGAAAGCGGAAUUCCAAGUGUAGCGGUGAAAUGCGUAGGGAUUUGGAGGAACACCAGUGGCGAAGGCGGCUUUCUGGUCUGUAACUGACGCUGAGGCGCGAAAGCGUGGGGAGCAAACAGGGAUUAGAUACCCUGGUAGUCCACGCCGUAAACGAUGAGUGCUAAGUGUUAGGGGGUUUCCCGCCCCCUUAGUGCUGCAGCUAACGCAUUAAGCACUCCGCCUGGGGAGUACGGCCGCAAGGCUG